CCCUUACGACCAGGGCUACACACGUGCUACAAUGGCAUAUACAAAGAGAAGCGACCUCGCGAGAGCAAGCGGACCUCAUAAAGUAUGUCGUAGUCCGGAUUGGAGUCUGCAACUCGACUCCAUGAAGUCGGAAUCGCUAGUAAUCGUAGAUCAGAAUGCUACGGUGAAUACGUUCCCGGGCCUUGUACACACCGCCCGUCACACCAUGGGAGUGGGUUGCAAAAGAAGUAGGUAGCUUAACCUUCGGGAGGGCGCUUACCACUUUGUGAUUCAUGACUGGGUGAAGUCGUAACAAGGUAACCGUAGGGGAACCUGCGGUUGGAUCACCUCCUUACCUUAAAGAA
rnacentral:rRNA from 1 species